rnacentral:tRNA from 1 species
GGCCGGCUGGCUCAAUGGUAGAGUGCUUGACUACGAAUCAAGAGGCUGCAGGGUAAGCAUAGAACCUGCAAAUUGAUAUCUCAUUCCAUUGACUAAUUUCCCUCAGUUCGAGCCCUGCGUCGGUCA